rnacentral:rRNA from 1 species
UACGGAGGGUGCAAGCGUUGUUCGGAAUCACUGGGCGUAAAGAGCGCGUAGGCGGUUUUGUAAGUUAAGGGUGAAAUCCCCGAGCUCAACUUGGGAAUGGCUCUUAAAACUGCAGAACUAGAGUAUAUUAGAGGCAGGCAGAAUUCUUGGUGUAGAGGUGAAAUUCGUAGAUAUCAAGAGGAAUACCGGAGGCGAAGGCGGCCUGCUGGGAUAUUACUGACGCUGAGGCGCGAAAGCAUGGGUAGCAAAC